GCCUGGCUGGCUCAGGCUGUAGAGCAUGUGACUGUGGAUCUCAGGGUCGUGAGUUCAAGCCCCACGCCGGGUA
rfam:Mustela putorius furo unplaced genomic scaffold scaffold00114, whole genome shotgun sequence.